GAUGAACGCUGGCGGCGUGCCUAACACAUGCAAGUCGAACGGAGCUGCUUUGAUGAAGUUUUCGGAUGGAUUUAAAACAGCUUAGUGGCGGACGGGUGAGUAACGCGUGGGUAACCUGCCUCACACUGGGGGAUAACAGUUAGAAAUAGCUGCUAAUACCGCAUAAGCGCACAGUUCCGCAUGGAACAGUGUGAAAAACUCCGGUGGUGUGAGAUGGACCCGCGUCUGAUUAGCCAGUUGGCGGGGUAACGGCCCACCAAAGCGACGAUCAGUAGCCGGCCUGAGAGGGUGAACGGCCACAUUGGGACUGAGACACGGCCCAAACUCCUACGGGAGGCAGCAGUGGGGAAUAUUGCACAAUGGGGGAAACCCUGAUGCAGCGACGCCGCGUGAGUGAAGAAGUAUUUCGGUAUGUAAAGCUCUAUCAGCAGGGAAGAAAGUGAUGGUACCUGAAUAAGAAGCCCCGGCUAACUACGUGCCAGCAGCCGCGGUAAUACGUAGGGGGCAAGCGUUAUCCGGAUUUACUGGGUGUAAAGGGAGCGUAGACGGCAAGGCAAGUCUGAAGUGAAAGCCCGGUGCUUAACGCCGGGACUGCUUUGGAAACUGUUUGGCUGGAGUGCCGGAGAGGUAAGCGGAAUUCCUAGUGUAGCGGUGAAAUGCGUAGAUAUUAGGAAGAACACCAGUGGCGAAGGCGGCUUACUGGACGGUAACUGACGUUGAGGCUCGAAAGCGUGGGGAGCAAACAGGAUUAGAUACCCUGGUAGUCCACGCCGUAAACGA
rnacentral:rRNA from 1 species